GAACUGCGAUAAGUAAUGUGAAUUGCAGAAUUCAGUGAAUCAUCGAGUCUUUGAACGCACAUUGCGCCCCCUGGCAUUCCGGGGGGCAUGCCUGUCCGAGCGUCAUUGCUGCCCUCAAGCCCGGCUUGUGUGUUGGGUCGUCGUCCCCCCCGGGGGACGGGCCCGAAAGGCAGCGGCGGCACCGUGUCUGGUCCUCGAGCGUAUGGGGCUUUGUCACCCGCUCGAUUAGGGCCGGCCGGGCGCCAGCCGGCGUCUCCAACCUUAUUUUUCUCAGGUUGACCUCGGAUCAGGUAGGGAUACCCGCUGAACUUAAGC
rnacentral:misc_RNA from 1 species